rnacentral:rRNA from 1 species
GACGAACGCUGGCGGCGUGCUUAACACAUGCAAGUCGAACGGAAAGGCCCUGCUUUUGUGGGGUGCUCGAGUGGCGAACGGGUGAGUAACACGUGAGUAACCUGCCCUUGACUUUGGGAUAACUUCAGGAAACUGGGGCUAAUACCGGAUAGGAGCUCCUGCUGCAUGGUGGGGGUUGGAAAGUUUCGGCGGUUGGGGAUGGACUCGCGGCUUAUCAGCUUGUUGGUGGGGUAGUGGCUUACCAAGGCUUUGACGGGUAGCCGGCCUGAGAGGGUGAACGGGCACAUUGGGACUGAGAUACGGCCCAGACUCCUACGGGAGGCAGCGGUGGGGAAUAUUGCACAAUGGGCGGAAGCCUGAUGCAGCAACGCCGCGUGCGGGAUGACGGCCUUCGGGUUGUAAACCGCUUUCGCCUGUGACGAAGCGUGAGUGACGGUAAUGGGUAAAGAAGCACCGGCUAACUACGUG